rnacentral:rRNA from 1 species
CCUACGGGAGGCAGCAGUGAGGAAUAUUGGUCAAUGGGCGCGAGCCUGAACCAGCCAAGUCGCGUGAGGGAAGACGGCCCUACGGGUUGUAAACCUCUUUUGCCGGGGAGCAACGGGCGCCACGUGUGGCGCCAUUGAGAGUACCCGGAGAAAAAGCAUCGGCUAACUCCGUGCCAGCAGCCGCGGUAAUACGGAGGAUGCGAGCGUUAUCCGGAUUUAUUGGGUUUAAAGGGAGCGUAGGUGGAUUGUUAAGUCAGUUGUGAAAGUUUGCGGCUCAACCGUAAAAUUGCAGUUGAAACUGGCAGUCUUGAGUACAGUAGAGGUGGGCGGAAUUCGUGGUGUAGCGGUGAAAUGCUUAGAUAUCACGAAGAACUCCGAUUGCGAAGGCAGUUCACUGGACUGCAACUGACACUGAGGCUCGAAAGUGUGGGUAUCAAACAGGAUUAGAUACCCUAGUAGUC